UACGUAGGGUGCAAGCGUUGUCCGGAAUUAUUGGGCGUAAAGAGCUCGUAGGCGGUCUGUCGCGUCUGCUGUGAAAACUCAGGGCUUAACCCUGAGCUUGCAGUGGGUACGGGCAGACUAGAGUGCGGUAGGGGAGACUGGAAUUCCUGGUGUAGCGGUGAAAUGCGCAGAUAUCAGGAGGAACACCGGUGGCGAAGGCGGGUCUCUGGGCCGUAACUGACGCUGGAGGAAGCGAAAAGCAUGGGGAGCGACAGG
rnacentral:rRNA from 1 species